GAUGAACGCUGGCGGCGUGCCUAAUACAUGCAAGUCGAGCGAACGGACGAGAAGCUUGCUUUUCUGAUGUUAGCGGCGGACGGGUGAGUAACACGUGGAUAACCUACCUAUAAGACUGGGAUAACUUCGGGAAACCGGAGCUAAUACCGGAUAAUAUUUUGAACCGCAUGGUUCAAAAGUGAAAGACGGUCUUGCUGUCACUUAUAGAUGGAUCCGCGCUGCAUUAGCUAGUUGGUAAGGUAACGGCUUACCAAGGCAACGAUGCAUAGCCGACCUGAGAGGGGGAGCGCCCACACGGGACCGGAGCCAGGGCCCGAACCCCUACGGGGGGAAGAAGUAGGGAUUUUUCCGAAAGGGGCGAAAGCCUGACGGGGCAACCCCGGGUGAGUGAGGAGGGUCUUCGGAUCGUAAAACUCUUUUAUGAGGGAAGAAAAUAUGUGUAAGUAACUGGGCACAUCUUGACGGUACCUAAUCAAAAAGCCACGGCUAACUCCGU
rnacentral:rRNA from 1 species